GAAGAAGACACAAUCAUUUAAACAAAAGAUUUUGAUCUUAUAAUAUAAACACACACUCAUGAACACAACAUGAUCAUUUUUUUCCUAAGUAUUUCUUUUAGCACCAUUCUGGUUUCAGGUUCAUCUCUCAGUGACCAAGUCCACCAGACUCCAGCUGAAAUUUUCAACAAACCAGGAGAAAGAGCCAGAAUCAGCUGCUCACACAGUAUUCAGAACUAUGACCGAAUCCUCUGGUACAAGCAAACAAAUGGACAGCUGCAGUUCCUGGGAUACAUGAUAGGAAGCAUUGGAAGGACAGAGACUGGAGUGAAUGUGACGAUGGAAGGGGGUGCAGAUAAAGACAAAACCUGCACUUUAACAACUGAAGAGCUCAGCGUGAACAGCAGUGCAGUUUACUUCUGUGCUGCUAGUUACACAGUGCUACAGAUCACUGCUCCUCAGUACAAAAACCUUCAACACACAUUUUUUUCACCUCCAUAUAAAACAGCUGACAGCCUCUUACACCUGUGUUCUUUCUCAGCGCUCAGAUCUUUAUACUGAUGUGGUGUGGAAGAUGCACAGUGACACCACCCACCUAAUGACUUGGGAGGGUUUACUCAAAAUGAAGCUUGGGAAUACUCAGCAUGUGUUUUCUUCAUUGCAGCAGUGACAAACUGUUCAGCUUCUUCUGAUCAGAUUUCCUGCUAAAUAAUUAAACUACUACACAAAAUGAUCUUCAUAUUCAUUUACAUUACUCUAAACUCUGGUCUGGUUUCAGGUUCCUCUCUCAGUGACCAGGUCCACCAGACUCCAGCUGAAAUUUACAGCAAACCAGGAGAAAGAGCCAAAAUCAGCUGCUCACACAGUAAUCAGAACUAUAACCGAAUCCUCUGGUACAAGCAAACAAACGGACAACUGCAGCUCCUGGGAUACAUGAAUGUAAACACUGGUCUCCCUGAAAAAGGAGUGAAUGUGAUGAUAGAAGGGAGUGCAUUUAAAGACAAAACCUGCACUUUAACAACUGAAGAACUCAGCGUGAACAGCAGUGCAGUUUACUUCUGUGCUGC